AAUUUGCGACUCUAGCGGCCAUUUGAGCCUGUUCCGGCGCGCACCGUAGCAUAUUCUGCGCCAAACGUGGUGGCGAGAAGACAAAACAGUUCAGCUUCAGAAUCUCCGCUACGGCGAGAACAGCUAUCUGUAGAGUGCCAAAUGCAAUAUAGGCAUUUUCAUCGCGUAAAGAUGGGAUGCGGCAGCGAUAAUAACAGCCCAUACGGCCAGCGAGAACAUGACCGCCGCUAACUUGAUCCCGACUGACUGCAUCAUUUCCUCCAUCCCAGCGUAAUCGUGCUCCUCCGCACGAUCGAAGGCUAGCAGGGUGUAGGUC
rnacentral:sRNA from 1 species